GCAAAUGUCUGAUGGACUGAGCACGCAGUCGCCUCCAGACGAAGAGGAUGAUGAGCCACAAUAUAUGAAGGUAUGGAGACAGAUGAGAGAAGAUGGUUGUUCGCCUUACAACAUGUUUGAAGAGAGAGUGAUUACCAACUUAUUCAAUUUGCAUUUGUGACAUCAGAGCCCACUAGUGAGGCAACACUUGGAUGGAAUACGAACCAAUGACCACUGAAUAGAUCAUGGGACUCGUUUGCAACAAUCAAAGAGACACUUAAGAAAAGGCCUGGAAGACUUUAUUUUUACUUUUGUCUUAAAUGAUUAGUCCUUUUUUAUUUUAUUUUUCUGACAGCCUUUUCUGUUUAAAUUUUUGAGAUAUUCCAAAAUAAGUGGAAUUAAAAAAAAAUAAAAUACCAAGAAUACUCCGCUGAACAUAAUUGCACUAUAUUGAUGUAUAAACACAAUACAUACAAAAUACAGCCUACUACAAUUUUUACAGUUAUCAGUUAGAUUUUCAUCAAGAAUUGUAUUAUAGACAAUCAUUUCUGUAUAUGAGAAAUAAAGUAAAUACUAUGAGAACAAAUCUAAACUUAUUUUGGAGUGUGCGAGUAUACGACAAUCAUUUUUGGACAAUGAAGUUAAAACACAAGAAUGAAAGAAAAAACACAAACAAAGCUAAUUACAAGACUAUUCAUGGAAGAUGAUCCGCUACUUUCCAUAACUAUACAAUGAAAGAUAUGUGGAUCUACAUGAGCAUUCACCUUUAAACAUCAAUCAUAAUAUCUAUUAAGAAAUGUAUAUAUGUGAAGGCUGGAAAGUUUCAGGAAAUGAAUGAACAUGUCAAAAAAAUGAAUAUAUGAAAAAUUCAUGUGUAAUUGGAGAAUCCAUAAAUGGCAAUCACAGAGUAGUA